rnacentral:rRNA from 1 species
AUGACAAAGAAUAAUAGAACAUAUUAUCUGCUGGAUGGGGAGGAAGAUCCUAUAAGGCCUAUACACGACAACUAUAUUGGCAAGGUGAUGUUCUUAAUGGUCAUUGCUAGGCCAAGGUGGGACAGCGGAGGAAACGUGACCUUCUCUGGGAAAGGUAUCUGGCCAUUCAUGAAAGAAGUUCCUGCUCAGAGGAGAAGCGACAACAGACCCAGAGGUACAAUAGAGACAAAGUCAAUAAAGGUCGACAGAAAAGUGAUGAGGGAGUUCCUGAUAGAGAAGGUCUUGCCAGCGAUACAAGUAGUUUGGCCGGAGAGUGAUGUUGGACAGACCAUCUACAUUAAGUAG